rnacentral:rRNA from 1 species
AUACAUGCAAGUCGAGCGGACAGAUGGGAGCUUGCUCCCUGAUGUUAGCGGCGGACGGGUGAGUAACACGUGGGUAACCUGCCUGUAAGACUGGGAUAACUCCGGGAAACCGGGGCUAAUACCGGAUGGUUGUUUGAACCGCAUGGUUCAAACAUAAAAGGUGGCUUCGGCUACCACUUACAGAUGGACCCGCGGCGCAUUAGCUAGUUGGUGAGGUAACGGCUCACCAAGGCAACGAUGCGUAGCCGACCUGAGAGGGUGAUCGGCCACACUGGGACUGAGACACGGCCCAGACUCCUACGGGAGGCAGCAAGGGAAUCUUCCGCAAUGGACGAAAGUCUGACGGAGCAACGCCGCGUGAGUGAUGAAGGUUUUCGGAUCGUAAAGCUCUGUUGUUAGGGAAGAACAAGUACCGUUCGAAUAGGGCGGUACCUUGACGGUACCUAACCAGAAAGCCACGGCUAACUACGUGCCAGCAGCCGCGGUAAUACGUAGGUGGCAAGGUGAUGUGCUGCUUUUUCUUUAAGGGCUCGCAGGCGGUUUCUUAAGUCUGAUGUGAAAGCCCCCGGCUCAACCGGGGAGGGUCAUUGGAAACUGGGGAACUUGAGUGCAGAAGAGGAGAGUGGAAUUCCACGUGUAGCGGUGAAAUGCGUAGAGAUGUGGAGGAACACCAGUGGCGAAGGCGACUCUCUGGUCUGUAACUGACGCUGAGGAGCGAAAGCGUGGGGAGCGAACAGGAUUAGAUACCCUGGUAGUCCACGCCGUAAACGAUGAGUGCUAAGUGUUAGGGGGUUUCCGCCCCUUAGUGCUGCAGCUAACGCAUUAAGCACUCCGCCUGGGGAGUACGGUCGCAAGACUGAAACUCAAAGGAAUUGACGGGGGCCCGCACAAGCGGUGGA